rnacentral:rRNA from 1 species
UGGGGAAUUUUGGACAAUGGGCGAAAGCCUGAUCCAGCAAUGCCGCGUGUGUGAAGAAGGCCUUCGGGUUGUAAAGCACUUUUGUCCGGAAAGAAAUCCUUGGCUCUAAUACAGUCGGGGGAUGACGGUACCGGAAGAAUAAGCACCGGCUAACUACGUGCCAGCAGCCACGGUAAUACGUAGGGUGCAAGCGUUAAUCGGAAUUACUGGGCGUAAAGCGUGCGCAGGCGGUUUGCUAAGACCGAUGUGAAAUCCCCGGGCUCAACCUGGGAACUGCAUUGGUGACUGGCAGGCUAGAGUAUGGCAGAGGGGGGUAGAAUUCCACGUGUAGCAGUGAAAUGCGUAGAGAUGUGGAGGAAUACCGAUGGCGAAGGCAGCCCCCUGGGCCAAUACUGACGCUCAUGCACGAAAGCGUGGGGAGCAAAACAGGAUUAGAUACCCUGGUAGUCCACGCCCUAAACGAUGUCAACUAGUUGUUGGGGAUUCAUUUCCUUAGUAACGUAGCUAACGCGUGAAGUUGACCGCCUGGGGAGUACGGUCGCAAGAUUAAAACUUAAAUGAAUUGACGGGGUCAUA